rnacentral:rRNA from 1 species
UACGUGGGGUGCGAGCGUUAAUCGGAAUUACUGGGCGUAAAGCGUGCGCAGGCGGUGAUGUAAGACCGAUGUGAAAUCCCCGGGCUUAACCUGGGAACUGCAUUGGUGACUGCAUCGCUCGAGUAUGGCAGAGGGGGGUAGAAUUCCACGUGUAGCAGUGAAAUGCGUAGAGAUGUGGAGGAAUACCGAUGGCGAAGGCAGCCCCCUGGGUCAAUACUGACGCUCAUGCACGAAAGCGUGGGGAGCAAACAGG